UACGGAGGGGGCUAGCGUUGUUCGGAAUUACUGGGCGUAAAGCGCGCGUAGGCGGUUCCACUAGUCAGGCGUGAAAGCCCCGGGCUCAACCCGGGAAUAGCGCUUGAUACUUUGGAGCUAGAGUCCGGGAGAGGAGAGUGGAAUUCCCAGUGUAGAGGUGAAAUUCGUAGAUAUUGGGAAGAACACCGGUGGCGAAGGCGGCUCUCUGGACCGGUACUGACGCUCUGGCGCGAAAGCGUGGGGAGCAAACAGGAUUAGAUACCCUGGUAGUCCACGCUGUAAACGAUGAGUGCUAGAUGUUGGGGGGCCUAGCCCUUCAGUGUCGCAGCUAACGCAUUAAGCACUCCGCCUGGGGAGUACGGCCGCAAGGCUA
rnacentral:rRNA from 1 species